rnacentral:rRNA from 1 species
AACGAACGCUGGCGGCAGGCUUAACACAUGCAAGUCGAACGCCCCGCAAGGGGAGUGGCAGACGGGUGAGUAACGCGUGGGAAUCUACCUAGUUCUACGGAACAACAGUUGGAAACGACUGCUAAUACCGUAUACGCCCUAUGGGGGAAAGAUUUAUCGGAAUUAGAUGAGCCCGCGUAAGAUUAGCUAGUUGGUGAGGUAAUGGCUCACCAAGGCGACGAUCUUUAGCUGGUCUGAGAGGAUGAUCAGCCACACUGGGACUGAGACACGGCCCAGACUCCUACGGGAGGCAGCAGUGGGGAAUAUUGGACAAUGGGCGCAAGCCUGAUCCAGCCAUGCCGCGUGAGUGAUGAAGGCCUUAGGGUUGUAAAGCUCUUUCAGUAGGGAAGAUAAUGACGGUACCGUAAGAAUAAGCACCGGCUAACUACGUGCCAGCCGCCGCGGUAAAAC